rnacentral:rRNA from 1 species
UGCCAGCCGCCGCGGUAAUACGGAGGGGGUUAGCGUUGUUCGGAAUUACUGGGCGUAAAGCGCACGUAGGCGGACCAUUAAGUUAGAGGUGAAAUCCCGGGGCUCAACCCCGGAACUGCCUUUAAUACUGGUGGUCUUGAGUUCGAGAGAGGUGGGUGGAAUUCCGAGUGUAGAGGUGAAAUUCGUAGAUAUUCGGAGGAACACCAGUGGCGAAGGCGGCUCACUGGCUCGAUACUGACGCUGAGGUACGAAAGCGUGGGGAGCAAACAGGAUUAGAUA